AAGAUGCACAUGCAGCACCUGAAAUCCCUGGACUCAGCCUGCAGCAUCAUCCCAGUUUGAGAGAGGACACCCCAUCAGCGUUACCAUCAAAGCCCUGCAUGUUCCAGCUAAACAGGAACUGGAUUUCCGUGCCUGCAGCAUCUCAGCGUCUCUGUGCCUG
rnacentral:lncRNA from 12 species